rnacentral:lncRNA from 1 species
UGUUGGUGCAAAAAUCCGCUUGCGUCGGAGAAGCUAGAGUCGAGGGAGUCACGGUCGCCGUCGGGACCUGCAAAGGAAGUCUAAACUGGAGGUGGGGUUGCUCCGGCAAGACCCUCCGAUGCUCAAGUCAGUUCUCUGCCUCAACAAGAAUGGAGUGCUCGAACGAAGAAUUUAGCAGAGUUUUGAGGUAAAGAAUUAGAGCUUAUAGAAUAACGUAUCUAGGACCUCCUUUUAUAGG